GAUGAACGCUGGCGGCGUGCCUAAUACAUGCAAGUCGAGCGAACAGACGAGGAGCUUGCUCCUCUGACGUUAGCGGCGGACGGGUGAGUAACACGUGGAUAACCUACCUAUAAGACUGGGAUAACUUCGGGAAACCGGAGCUAAUACCGGAUAAUAUAUUGAACCGCAUGGUUCAAUAGUGAAAGACGGUUUUGCUGUCACUUAUAGAUGGAUCCGCGCCGCAUUAGCUAGUUGGUAAGGUAACGGCUUACCAAGGCAACGAUGCGUAGCCGGCCUGAGAGGGUGGACGGUCACACUGGGACUGAGACACGGCCCAGACUCCUACGGGAGGCAGCAGUGGGGAAUAUCGCACAAUGGGCGCAAGCCUGAUGCAGCGACGCCGCGUGAGGGAUGGAGGCCUUCGGGUUGUGAACCUCUUUCGCCAGUGAAGCAGGCCUGCCUCGUUUGCGGGUGGGUUGACGGUAGCUGGAUAAGAAGCGCCGGCUAACUACGU
rnacentral:rRNA from 1 species